rnacentral:tRNA from 1 species
GGAGGCGUCCGGACGCCUGGUGGGUCCCGCAGUCUUCAAAACUGUCGAGAGGCCGAAAGGCCUCUGGCGGGUUCGAUUCCCGUCCGCCUCCG